rnacentral:rRNA from 1 species
AGUGAACGCUGGCGGUAGGCCUAACACAUGCAAGUCGAACGGCAGCACAGUAAGAGCUUGCUCUUACGGGUGGCGAGUGGCGGACGGGUGAGGAAUACAUCGGAAUCUACUUUUUCGUGGGGGAUAACGUAGGGAAACUUACGCUCAUACCGCAUACGACCUACGGGUGAAAGCAGGGGAUCUUCGGACCUUGCGCGAUUGAAUGAGCAGAUGUCGGAUUAGCUAGUUGGCGGGGUAAAGGCCCACAAAGGCGACGAUCCGUAGCUGGUCUGAGAGGAUGAUCAGCCACACUGGAACUGAGACACGGUCCAGACUCCUACGGGAGGCAGCAGUGGGGAAUAUUGGACAAUGGGCGCAAGCCUGAUCCAGCCAUACCGCGUGGGUGAAGAAGGCCUUCGGGUUGUAAAGCCCUUUUGUUGGGAAAGAAAAGCAGCAGGUUAAUACCCCGCUGUUCUGACGGUACCCAAAGAAUAAGCACCGGCUAACUUCGUG